GUGCUUGCUUUAGUAGCACAUAUACUAAAAUUGGAAUAAUACAGAGAUUAGCAUGGCCCCUAUGCAAAGAUGACAAAACAAAGACAAAAACAUAGAUAGUUAAU